UAGAUGUUGUUUCUGUCUAUCUCAUUUCACCUACUUUCUUUCCAAGAAUCAAAAUGUUCCAGCUUUCUCAGCACCGCGCCCUCAUUUCCGAAGCCCACAUACGCCGCCACACAUCCUGGAGACGGGCAGCGUGCUCAUUAUAUUUUAACAAACACAUUAUUUUACAUUCAUAAUACCGAUAUUUUAGUCAACAGAAAGUUUGUUUUGAUUUCUCUGCUUCACAGAGUGAAGACUUAUGAUGUGCGUUCCCUUUCAAAACUUCCUCCCGGAGCAUCAAGGCUCCCUGAAGCAGCCCCGUUUUGGCAGAGAUUCAGUUCUGUGCAGGGCCAAAAGGAAUAGAAUAAACAAGCACUGCUCCAUGCAGCUGGCGAGAUCAUUUACAUAUUACUGCACACCAAACAUGAAGACCUGAAUAUGGAUCAGAGCUACGGUGGCGUUGACACAAAUGUCACAGAGAUAAAGAGAGACACAAUCCAACACAUCGCUGUUUAUUUUGCCACUGCUUCUGUAUGAGUGCCGCUAAGGAAAAAAUGGGGGAAUUGCAUUUUGAAAAUUGGCCUCCUUUCUGUAUUUGAAGUGGGUUCUUUCUAACCAUAGCGCAAGAGAAGAAGGAAGCAAAAAGGCGUGAGUGGGGCCUCUCGGAUUCUCCGGGUUUGCUUUAUCAGUUAAAACAGUUUCAAUGUCUUCAGUUUGGGAUUAGGUAGAUUAGUGAUCUUACAAAAAUGUUUUUUAAAAUGCAAAGCUGCCUGAAUUCCCAUCUAGCCCUUUCCCCAGUCUUGAUUAUUUCAGCCUAACACUGAGCUCUUUAAUUGGGUUGAGGUCCCUGGUAGGGGGUGAUGCAGGAAGUAAAGAUCCAGGAAAGAUGCUUCAGGAAGCACCGUGCAGUGGGCAGGAGUCGCCUAGCAGCCUUAGCUGAUGUGCUUUGGUCCUUGUUUCUGCACAUGAAGCUUGUGACUUCCAGUUGACUCUUUUUGACCUCAGCAAGAGGUGUCCUAGAAAAGAGGAGAUUCCUCUCUGGAUAUGCAUUGCUGCAACUUCUUUUCCCCCAUUCCCAUCCUUGGGAAAGACAAGAGUUGUAAGAACAUCCUGAGUGAGGAAACUCAGACUCAGAAGGACAAACAAGAGCCUUCAUCCAGUAACUGAUGGAAGCAGAUGCAGAGAGCCGUGGCCAAGCACCAGGCCGAGCUCCAGAAGUUCAGUCAAAGAGAGAGAACAGGGAUUCUAUGAGCAAGGGGCAUCAAGACCAUGAUAGAGAAACCUACAGAGACAACUGAACUAAGCUAUUGGGAACUCAAGAACUUUGGACCGACAGCUGUAGAGCCUGCAUGGGACUGGACUGGGCCCUCUGCAUGGGGGAAACGUUGCCGGAGACUCUCAUCUCCCUGCAGUCAUGUCUAAGGCAGAGUCUCCUAAGCAGCUCAAACAGCUGCAUAAGCUCUUCAAUGGAGGACUGAGUUUCAAAACAAUGGAUGAGACUCAGGAGCCAUGUUGAACAAUGGGGACUCCUCAUCAGCAGUGUGGUGAUGAGACAUCCAGACACCAAAUGCUCCAGGGAUUUUGGAUUUGUCACCUACACCACUGUGGAAGAGUCGGAUGAAGCCAUCAAUGCAAGGCCACACAAGGUGGAUGGAAGAGUUGUGGAGCCAAAGAGAGCUGUAUCCAGAGAAGAUUCACCAGGUGCCCACUUAACUGAAAAAAAGAUCUGUGUGGUUGGUAGUAAGGAAGACACUGAAGAACAUCUGUGAGAUUAUUUUAAGUGGUAUGGGAAAAUUAGAGUGGUUUAAAUCAUGACUGACAGAGACAGUAUAAAGAAGAGGGGCUCUAUUUUGUGACCUUUGAUGAGCGUGACUCCAUGGGUAAGGUUGUCAUUCAGAAAUACCACACUGUGAAUGGCCACAACUGUGAAAUAAGAAAAACCUCGUGGAAGCAGUAGAUGGCUAGUGCUUCAUCUGGCCAAAGAGGUCAAAGUGGUCCAGAAUCUUUGGUGGUGAUUAUAGAGGUGGUUUGGGUGGCAAUGACAAUUUUGAUCAUGGAAGAAGCUUCAGUGGCCAUGGUGGCUUUGGUGGCAGCUGUGGUGGUUGAGGUAGAUAUGGGGAUGGUGGGACACCUGUAAUGGACUCAAUGAUGAUGGAAAUAAUUUUGGAGGUGGGGGGAGCUAUAAUUAUUUGGGCAGUUACAACAUUCAGCCUUCAAAUUUUGGACCUACAAAAGGAGGAAACUUUGGAGGCAGGGGUUCAGGCCCUUUUGGGGUUAGAGGCCAGGAUUUGCUAAACCACAAAAGUCAUGUGUCUAUGGUGGUUCCAACAGCAGCAGCUCUGGCAGUGGCAGAAGGUUUUAAUUACUGCCAGGAAAAGUCUUUUCUUUCUUCCAAGUGAAGACAUGGAGGUGUGCAAAGGAAAGUCAUCUGCCACAGCGACACAACUAACGGCCACGCUCUUAAUCACGAUGUUUGUUUGGAAUGCUCAUGGAACUAACCUGCUUCCCUUGAGAAAUUCACUCUUCCCACUGAAACUUCCUCAGAUGCACAUCAUGUCUUAUAUUUAACUUUCAAGUAUAAUUUAAAGUAAUUUCUUUCUUCUUGCUUUCCUUCUCCACUCUUGCUCCUCUCCUUCCACCCUCCUCUUCCUGCUCCUGCCUCCUCCUUUCCUCCCCCUCCCCCACCUCUCUCUGAUCACAAGUAGAAACAAGAGAGAAGACAUAGAUAUCUAUAUGAUGCACCUUCAUAUCUUUGGAGAAAAUAGUGAAAGAUUUCUAAAAUAAAAGUAGUCAUAGGCCCCUGCUAUUGAAAGAACUUUUUGAUAUUGGGAGCCUGGCUAGAAAUAUUCCAGAGAAGGAAGCUGUUUUUGACAUGUAUAAGGAUUUUUUUUUUUAAACAACCAUCUCUCUUGUAAGUAAUUAAGUACAAGUAAUUACAUAAUUACUUGAUUAUGUAGCAGCAGUAAAAUCUUACAGGAGGUUUCUCACUUAAACUCUAGCCUUAUAAAAAUAAUUGCCACAAGUCAAAUUUAUUUUCUAAAUGCAGUAAUUCUUUCUGCAUUUAAUUUUUGCUCAUGGGGGUGGAAUCGAAGUCUAUUUUUGUUUAAUGACCAGAGCCAGAGAAAUGUAUACUUUAUUAAUAUGUCACUAUGUUCAGAUACCAAUUUAAACACUCAGGAUGAUGCUUCAGGUUACAAUGUGAGAAACUCCUAGACGGGAAAUGAAAUUAUAAGCUGAGAUGGCAUUCUAAAGAAAGUCUUCUGUCAUAAAGUUGUAAAAUCAUUAGAUCAGGGUGAGGACACUAUUACUUAAGUUAAAAAUAGCUUUUAAAAGUUCUUAGUUUUCAAAAUACAUCACCAAUAGUAAUACAGAGAAAGUGAAAAAGUAUUCAGAGAGAAAGAAAGAGAGAGAGAGAGAGAGAGAGAGAGAGAGAGAGAGAGAAAAUGGCUUUCUAUAACACCCCUUGUAAGGAGCCUGAGCAAUGUAACGUAUCAGGUUCCUUCCCUUUUAUUUCAUUCUUUCUUUCCUUUUUAAAAAGUGAGCUGGCUCAUCAUUGCAAUUUUUCUCAAGUUCUUAGAACUCUAAUUAAAAUGUGGUAAUUGGUUAUGUUACCUCAAUUACCAUGAUGCAUGGACAUUGAUGCAAAGUGACACCAAUUGAAUCCCUUGGGUGUUUUACCCUGGGGCCAUCCCAUUUAUUGUGGCCUUAUUAUUUUCAAUUAUGUGGCUAGAUGUGUUGUAUACUUUCAAGGCCAUUAAAUGUGUAUGGUUUUUCUGGACGCAAAGUUCUAUUCUCAGGAGAGCUCUGCAGGAUCAGAGCAGAAGGGAGAAAACCGUGUAUGUGAAGAUAAAACCUCAAGCCCUUGAUUCACUAAGAAUUCAAAGGUGCACUUGCUUGAAACAAGGCAUUUCAAAGGAACCUAGGUUAUUUCUGUUUAAACAUGUCUUUGAAAAGCAAGAAUGGUUUAUACUAUUAGACAACUACUGUGCCUACUAAAACAGAGAUCUCAUAACAGGUAAAACUGAUAGGAAAACAGAUGCAAAAUACUAAUUUCUUCUAUCUUUUCCAAUACUUUUACUUUUUGUUUGUUUGUUUUCAGACAAGAUCUCACCAAGAAGCACAGGCUGGCCUGGAAUGUACUGUAUAGCUCAGGCCACAGUUCUCCCAUCUUGGCCUCUGGAGGGCUAGUUUAAUAGGCCUGCACGACCAUGCACGGAAAGACAAGUUCUCUCUGUCUGUCUGUCUCUCUCUCCCUCCCUCCCCCCUUAAAUAUUUAAUUGAUUUUAGUUUCUUAAUUCAUCACACAAGUACACUGUUUUGACAUCAUUCCCUGACCUUCCUCUCCCUCCGCCCACUUCUCACGUGUCUCCACGCCCUCCUGAAUUCAUAACCUCUUUUAUAGACAAAAGUUGUCUUGCACUGUAGAUAAAGCUUUGGGCCUCUUAGCAAGGCUACGCAAAGCUGUUUUGAAUGUCUUUCAGAUGCAUAUUUUAAGAGAUCUGUCCUCAGAAUGAACAUGAAGGUAAGAGUAGUCUGAAUCUUGACAGAAUGAAGUGUUUCCCAGCGGGAACACUAUAGGCAUUGGUGGGAAGAUUUGUGUAUGGGGUAGCUUAUUCAUUCUGGGUUGUUUCAUUUCAAAGCCAAAUGUAUCCUCGGUGGUCACAAACAACUCCCAAACAUUCGCCUCAAAAAUCUUGGUGCAAAUCUGGAAAUGACCAGUGGCCACGAUGACGCAGCAUUCUGCCAGGCCAUUCUGAAAUGAUACCUGCAUCUUCUCCAGCUUUACUUUUCUGAAAUGGCAUCCUUGAACAGCUCAAAGUGGUAGAAAAAUUCUGGCUUUGUUUCUCUCCUUGCUUGGCCUGCUAUCUCUAAAUAGGUAUAACACUGGACUGGAAAACCAAGGAGGGCUUUUCUUCCAAGCAAUAAGCAAGGAUGUGGCAGAAACUUUAAGCAUGUUACUUUACAUUUAAUGAAGAAUGUUCAGGUCCAUUUCUAUGAAGUAUUUCUAAACUAAAAUCCUAUGAUAGACAAAGAGCACACUUUUGGUUAAGCGAAUGUGAUUACACUAUUCUCGGGAACCUUGGCUAUGCUUUGUAUAAUAGACAUUCUUUUAAAACACUUUUUGUGACUCAGGAUAGUUUUGAUAUAUGUUCUGUAUAUACUUAAAAAUACUGUCAUCUUUGUUGCUAUUGGAUGACAUGCUCACCCAUUUUUGUUGUAUAUAUAAGAUUAUCACCAUGCUUUGAUAUGCAAAUGGUGCACUGAAUACUAUAGUCAAUAAAAUAUGCAUAUCCAUAAUCUCAGAGUUUCUUUUGUGUAUGUGUGUGGUAAGGAUGCCAAAAACUUACUCUCUUAAUACAUUUCUUGUAGGAAAGGCAAUAUUAUUAACUGUAUUUAUGCUUUUAUACAUUACAUCUCUAGAUUAUUCACUCUACCAUAAUUGAAACUUUGCAUUCUUUGAUGGACCUCUUUCCACUGUCCCAGUCUCCUGUCCCUGUAAUCACCAUUCUGCUCUGUUUCUAUAUAUUUGCUUGUUUUCUCUGCUGCAACUUUAAGAUUCCACACACAAAUAAGAUCGCCCACUAUUUUUCUUGUGGUCUCCACUUAUUUAAUGUCAUAUGAUGGCCUCUAGUUUUCCCUCUGUUGCUGUAAAUGUCUGACUCUCCAUAUACAGGAUGAAUAUACACAGUACAACUUAUUUUUUUAUUCAUUCACCGGGAAUGAUCUCAGAUCUCAGUUUCUGUAUCUUGGCUAUGGUGGAUAAUGUUGUGAAGAAUAUGAGUAUACAGGUACCUUAAUGAGGGGAUGGCACAUACUCAGAAUAGAAACUGUGGGGUCAUACAAAAAUUCUAGUGUAGAACUUUCAUAUCAUUUCCCACAGUUGCAGCAAUCGACUUCCCACAGUAGUGAGUGGGAGAGCUUUUGUCUGUAUCCUCUUGCCUUUUUGGUAAAAGUUGGUUGAAGUGUUUUAGAUGUCAAUUAGGUCAUGUGGCUUUACAAUAACAUCCAUGUCCUUUUACGUUCAUAUUGAUUCUCUGGUCUAUCAGUUAUUGAGACGGGGUGUUGAAAUUUCUCUCCCAUACUCUGUUUUUCUUGUCUCUUCACGGGAAUAGGUUUUCUAUGUGGUAUAUUCGUAAGUUGUCCUAGACACUUAGAAAUGUCUUCUUCUCAUGGUAAAUUGGAACUCCCAUUGAGAAGAAAUGUCCU